GAACAAAUUAAUAUCAUAAUGAUCUUGUUCGCAGAUAUAUGGUUGUAAGAAUAAGUCCUCAUACCCAUGCCUAUUUUUAUUAUAAGUGUUUCUAGUGUCAACUUGGUUUCGAUCUGGACAAAAACUAGAAUUAAUUCUCUCGCAAAAACUUGGUAGAAACCUUUGACUUCAAGGUGCCUUCCUCUCAUGGGUUCGAUAACUCAGGGUAAACUCUGGGAACAAAAGAUGAGGAUCCUUUCUGCUCCUUUACCGGAUCACAAAAGGGACUAAUCAGGCAGUGGCUUGGUUAAGGGAGUAGAACGCACCAGAGCCGCAGCGAAAGCUAGUCUUAAUAGGGAGAUCGUCACUGCUUAUGGACCCGAAGAUGGGUAAUAUAUCCAUGACUAGGAUGAAGCUUGGAUGAAACCAAGCAGAGGUCCGAACCGACUGAUGUUGAAGAAUCAGGGGAUGAGUUGCGGUUAGAGGUGAAAUGCCACUCGACCCAGAGCUAGCUGGUUCUCCCCAAAAUGGGUUGAGGCGCAACAGCUGACUGCACAUCUAGGGGUAAAGCACUAUUUCAGCGCGGGCUGAGGGAGCGGUACCAAAUCAAGGAGAACCCUGAAUAUCAGAUAUGAACCAAAAACAACAGGGGUCAAGGUUAGCUAGUGAGACGAUGGGGGAUAAGCUUGAUCGCCAAGAGGGAAACAACCCGGAUCACCAGUUAAGGCCCCUAAAUAACCGCUCAGUGAUAAAGGAGGUGUGUGUGUGGGGGGGGGGAGGUUUGCCUAAAAGCAGCCACCCUUUAAAGAGUGCGUAAUAGCUCACUGAUCGAGCGCCCUUGCGCUGAAGAUGAAUGGGGCUACGUGAUUUGUCGAAGCCGUGGGAUGUCAAAAUGCAUCUGUAGGGGAGCAUUCCGCCUAGAGGGAAGCAACCGCGAAAGCGGGGGCCGACGAAGCGAAAGAGAAUGUCGGCUUGAGUGACGGAAGUAUUGGUGAGAAUCCAAUGCCCCGAAAACGCAAGGUUUCUUCCGCAAGGUUCGUCCAUGGAGAGUGAGUCAUGGUCUAAGAUCAGGUCGAGAGGCGUAGUCGAUGGAUAAUAGGUCAAUAUUUUGGUAUUACCCCUUGCUGAGGGAUGGAGGAGGCUAGGUUAGCCGAAAGAGGUUCAUAGAUUUAAGGACACAAGGUACCUUGAGCCAGGGUCCGAGUACGAAGCGCUGCAACGCUGAAGUAUGUGCCCCGUGGACUAACGAUUGCUUCUCCAAGAGGCUCAUACCAGGUGCUAUGGUGCUGAAGUAUGUAACCGAUACCAUACUCUCAGGAAAAGCUGAAACGACUUUCAACAAAGGGGUACCAAUACCCGAAACCGACACAAGUGGGUAGGUAGAGAAUACCUAGGGGCGUGAGAUAACUGUCUCGAAUGAACUCGACAAAACAGUCCCGUAACUUCGGGAGAAGGGGUGCCCCCUCACAAAAGGGGGCCGCAGUGACCAGGCACGGGCGAAUGUUUACCAAAAGCACAGGUCUCCUCUAAGUCGCAAGACCAACGUAUGGGGGUUGACGCCUGCCUAGUGCCGGAAGACCAAGGAAGUUGGUGAACUGAUGACAGGGAAGCCGGUGGCCAUAACUAUAAUGGUCCUAAGGUAGUGAAAUUCCUUGUCAGAUAAGUUCCGACCUGCACGAAAGGCGUAAUGAUCUGGGCACUAUCUCGGGGAGAGUCUCGGUGAAAAAUACAUGUCUGUGAAGACCCUAUGAAGCUUUACUAUUCUUGGGAUUGGCUUUGGUCUUUUCUUGCAACUUUGGGCCCUUAGGGGGGUUGGAGCCAUCAGUGAGAUACCACUCUGAAAGAGAUCGGAUUCCAACCUUGUGUCAGACCUGCGGGCCAAGGGACAGUCUCGGGUAGACAGUUUCUACGCGGUGUAGGCCUCCCAAAAGUUAACGAAGGCAUGCAAAGGUUUCCUCGGGUGAGACAGACAUUAGUCCUAGGGUGUAAAGGCAGAAGGGAGUUUGACUACAAGACUCACUGGUGGAGAGACACGCACCAACUGGCAUGAAGAAAAAGAAUUGGCUACAGUAAAAAAAAUGCCGCAAAUAACAAAAAAUAGCGCGCGGGCGGGAGACGGUCUUAGCCCGCAGCCAAGAAGGUAGGGACAUAUGGGGCUGUUUGGUUGC
rfam:Triticum aestivum genome assembly, contig: Triticum_aestivum_CS42_TGACv1_scaffold_602895_7DL